GACGGGGCCCGCACAAGCGGAGGAACAUGUGGUUUAAUUCGAUGAUACGCGAGGAACCUUACCUGGGCUUAAAUGUAGAGUGCAUGAGGUAGAAUACUUCUUCCCUUCGGGGCUCUUUGCAAGGUGCUGCAUGGUUGUCGUCAGCUCGUGCCGUGAGGUGUCGGGUUAAGUCCCAUAACGAGCGCAACCCUUAUCGUUAGUUGCCAGCGGGUCAUGCCGGGGACUCUAGCGAAACUGCCGGUGUAAACCGCGAGGAAGUGGGAUGACGUCAAAUCAGCACGGCCCUUAUGUCCAGGGCUACACACGUGUUACAAUGGCCGGUACAGAGGGCAGCUACCUGGAGACAGGAUGCGAAUCUCGAAAGCCGGUCUCAGUUCGGAUCGGAGUCUGCAACUCGACUCCGUGAAGCUGGAUUCGCUAGUAAUCGCGCAUCAGCCAUGGCGCGGUGAAUACGUUCCCGGGCCUU
rnacentral:rRNA from 1 species